rnacentral:lncRNA from 1 species
CCGCUGUCCUCGGUGCAUCAUUCCUUUAGAUGGGGAUGACAUCCAGAAAUAUAGAGAGUUUGUAAGUUGGUGAGGUGUUGCAUAGCUUGGACACUAGGUAAGCUCUUCAGAUUAUUGCAAGAAAGAAUCCUCAGCUAUUUAAGGGAUGUAAGGCUACCCAACCAUUCCGGCACAGUCUCCACUCCGUCAAAUGAAAAUAAUGAAAGUUUCUUUUCUUAAUAAAUAACAAAACUGUGAAUAAUUUUACCUUGUCAAUAUCUCUGAUUGGACAUUUUCCUCUUAUGUACACAUGAUAGCCCGUGGAAGCUUCCACCCGCUUUAGGGAAUUGCCACAACCUAGAGAAGGGGUGAAUACAUAAGAGUAAGCAACACAGUGGAUCAAAAUGAAUUCUCAAUUGAGAAAGCCGCCUAAUGCAAAUAGAUGAAUUUAGAAAAAGUCAGUGGAUAACUGACCCAGGAAGAAACAAUGCCGUAGGCUGAUACGUAAAGAGUAUUUUGGCAGUGUUCAUGUCCACAAAAAAGUAAGCAACAUUGUGACUCAACCUGUGGAUAGAAGACCACCAUAAUUAACUCCCAAACUCCCCGGACAGCGUUGCACAUUCUAAUCCCACAUCAGGAACGAUACGAGUCUUCUGAGUGGAAUACUACUGGGUAUCUCUCAGGACCUUUAGGGAAACAUGAUUGAAGUUGAAGAAUGAUAUUGAUCCGCCUAUGAGCUUUGAUCGGAAUCCCAAUAUCCCUGUACAAAGAUAACACCAAAACAACUUAAAGAAAAAUAUAAACAACAAAUUUCAAUCUUUCUCACAUCUUGAAGAAACAUUCCAGUCAUGGUUCAACACUUAGAUUCACAAUAAGUACUCCCACGCCAUUAACUGAGAAACUCUUCAAGUCCUCUGGUACCUCGGAAUUUGGAAUUCUCGAUUGUCAAUUGAAGCUAAUGAAGAAAAUGCCAGUUGAGAAGAAUUACAUAACACAGUAUAAUAAAAUCACAAAGAGAACAAGUCUGGGCCUGUAGAACCAAAGGUAAUCCGCUGAAGGAUGAACAAUUAAGUCCCCUCAAAUUUGUUAGCAUCAUAUAUUUCUCAGCAACCUCGCGAGACAUUUGAGAAAUUACAUGCCCCAACUUGGUGCCAACAGCAAGUGAAAAGCUGCAAGAAAGAAAUCACUAUUGAGUUUUAACUUUCAAACUAAUUCUGUAUAGUAUUAGUAAAACAGAUAGCCUGAUAUGACCACAGCAGAAAAGCUUGCAUACUGUUUAAGUUGCAAUUUUGGCAACAGGAAUACCUCUCCUCUAGCAUUUUCGUUUCCUAUCCCAUAGAAUUUUAUAUCCUCAACAGAAUACCCUGCCACCGCUGAGUCAUAGCGAGUUCCAUAAAUGAACAAGCCCUCGAAGACUUUCAUGAGUAAUAUCAAGGUCCAGUGAACUUGCUGCAAAAUAAACAUUUCAUAUGGCUACUCUCAUAAUAAUCUCUCUUGAUAAUUUCAGCAAUAAUACAGGUACUCAACAGUUCAUCAAGUUACUCGAGCGAUAUCAAUUACUGACACAAAAUCAAUAGAAUUCAAAUCACUGUGCAUAUUACAAGUUGCCCCAAAACUAUGAGUCGAAAAUCUUCACAAGAAAGCAAUUACAAGAGUUCUAUAUAUUAUAUUAACGUCGUUAACCUGAAAACAAGUCUUGGGAUAAUAUAAACAAAUUUCCUCAUUGUGCAUGAACCAAUGGAAUAAGCAACCUGCAAGAGAUGGAAGCAACAAAUGUGGUAAAUCUACCACUGCCAUUGUGAUCAGAAUAAAAAGUCAUUAGCAUGUAAGGGAUGAAAGGAUGAAAUAAUAUCUAAAACAACAAACACCACAUUUCUGUAAAAAAAAAACAUAUCUUGUGCUUCAGUACCUGGACUCUGCUUGCACCUACUGCACUACAUCGUUCCCGUUGCGUAGUUUCAAUCCAAGUAUUGUCUCAGACCACAACUGAUCAUUUAAAAGAAAAGAGAGAAGGAUAAACAAAUUAUGUUAUACUAGUUUAAAUUUGAGUGUACUACUAGUGGAGACACGGAAUAAAAGAAGAAAAAUGAUAAACAUAUAACGUCAGCUCAGAAAUUUGAUUUCAAUAAUUUAAAAACCUUACUUCUGAAAUAUGGAAUGUGAGAAAUCUUAGGCCACUCUGUGCCGCUGUCCCUGCUGCAUCUUUCCUCUAAAAGGGGAUGACAUCCAUAAAUCCUUGGAGAUUGUAAGUUGGUGAGGCGUUGCAUAGCUUGGACACUUGGUAAAUUCAUCAGAUUCUUGCAAUCCCAAAUCCACAGCUCUUAAGGGAUGUAAGGCUACCCAACCAUUCUGGUAAAGUCUCCACUCCGUCAAUGCAGAAGUUGGAGCCAUGUGGAGUCGUUGUACAUACAACUGGAAUAAAAGUAAUCUUGGAGAACUGUGGCCUUGCACACCAUGAAAUUUGGUAAGGUGCUGCCUACCAUCGAUUCAACUGCUGUGUGACUUAAAAAGGAGAAGGAUAAACAAAUUUUGUUAUAGUACGUGCUUUGAAUUUUUGUGUAGUAAUAGUGGAGACACAGAAUAAAAAAACAAAAGAGAUAAACCUAUAACGUGAGCUCUGUAAUUUGAUUUCAAUAAUUUUAAAACAUACUUAGGAUAAGUGGAAUGUGAGAAAUCUUAGGUCAAUCUGUGCCAUUGUCCCUGGUGCAUCUUUGCUUUAGAAGGGGAUGACAUUCAUAAAUAGUCAGAGUAUGUAAGUUGGCUCGGCGUUGCAUAGCUUGGACACUAGGUAAAUUCAUCAGAUUCUUGCAAUCUUGAAUGUCCAUCUCUGUAAAGUAUGUAAGGUUACCCAACCAUUCUGGCAAUGUCUCCACUCUGUCAAAUUGAUAUAUCACCAAAAAUGUUAGAAGUGAGGUGUUGAAUUUGUUGAGGCGGAGACUUGAGCUUAGGCCAACCAUACAAGGCUAAAAAUCAGGGAAGGAAUCGAGCUCCUCCCAGAACCGACCGAUUUCCAAAUGAUGGAGAGAAUGGAGGCUGUCUAAACUUGGAAGACUCUCUAAAUUCGGGAUGUCUCUUAUUGUCAGCGCCUCAAACGAGAGUGGGAAUUGCAGGCUUGAAAAUUAUCUUGAGUAAUUGAAGAUUCUUUUACCUAAUUUUUGCAAUAACAGGGUAUUUGACAUUUCAUCAAGUUAGUCAAGGGAUAUGAAAUAGAGAUAAAUAAAUCAACCAAAUUCAAAUCACUGUUUAUACGAUUUGAACACUGUUCAUAAAUCACAAGUCGGUCGUACCCAGUGCACAAGGCUCCCGCUUUACGCAUGGUCUGGGAGAGGUGAAUGUCGGCUAGCCUUACCCCCAUUUAUGGAGAGGCUGCUCCCAAGUCUCGAACCCGAGACCUACCGCUCAUGGGCGAAGGCACUUGCCAUCGCACCACUUGUUCAUAAAUCACAAGUAACCAUAAAAAUAUCAGUCCAAAAUCUUCAUAAGGAUAACAAUAACAAACAGAAAGUAAUUGCAGUAGUUCUAAAUAUUAUAUGAACAUGGUUUUACAUGAUGACAAUUCUUGGCAUUACUCAUCUAACACUACUUGGGUGCUGGCAGUGUGUGAUUAAACAAGAUUCAAUACCAUGAUGGGUGAUCAAGCUAGUGGUUCAGCACUCCACUCAUACAGAUGAACUAAAGAAAGUUAAAAUAUUGAUUGAUGUUGCCGGCAUUAAGAAAGAUAACAUGUAAAGGAGAAUGCCCAAGGACUAUAAAAAGAGGUAUAUUAUUGAGAAAUGAAGGUAGAGCGAGAGAAUUAAUAUUGUGUGCAUCAGUACCUGGAGUCAGUUUAUAGCUAUUGAGCAUCAUGAAAAACGCCACAGCAUAGCAAAAGAAAUAUAGAUGGCACUGGGAAACACACAACAUAUAUAGUAAGUCAGAAGUCAACAGUAGAAUGUAUUGAUCAAUUAGAAGUAGAAGAGAAGAGGAGAUGUGGGUUUGAAAAUCUUACAUGACUUAAUUUCAAUGCAAAAGUUUGAGCCAUUUGGAGUCGUUUGUACAUAAAACUGGAAUACAAGUAAUCUCGGAGAACUGUGGCCUUGCACAUCAUGAAAUUUGAUUUUCCCAAUACACAUUUGUUGUAGUAUCGCAAGGCAUUGCAUAGCUUCAAUCCAACUGUUGUCUCAGAAGUCUCAGCCCCAAACUGAUUUAAAAGAAGAGGGAGAAGGACAAACAAAUUAUGUUAUACUAGUUUAAAUUUGAGUGUAGUACUAGUGGAGACAUGGAAUAAAAGAAGCAAAGAGAUAAACAUAUAACGUCAGCUUUGUUAUUUGAUUUCAAUAAUUUAAAAACUUACUGUCGAUUUUUGGAAUGUGAGAAAUCUUAGGCCAAUCUGUGUCGUUGUCCCUGCUGCAUCUUUCUUCUAAAAGGGGAUGACAAAUCCAAAUCUCUAGGAAUUGUAAUUUGAUCAGACCACAACUGAUCAUUUAAAAGAAAAGGGAGAAGGAUAAACAAAUUACGUUAUACUAGUUUAAAUUUCAGUGUAGUACUAGUGGAGACACGGAAGAAAAGAACAAAGGAUAUAAACAUAUAACGUCAGCUCUGUUACUUGAUUUCAAUAAUUUAAAAAACUUACUUGUGAUAUCUGGAAUGUGAGAAAUCUUAGGCCAAUCUGUGCCGCUGUUCCUCAUGCAUCUUUGCUUUAGAAGAGGAUGGCAUCCAGAAAUAUACAGAGUUUGUAAUUUGGUGAGGCGUUGCAUAGCUUGGAAUCUUGGUAAAUUCCUCAGAUUCUCGCAAGACCAAAUCGUCAGCUCUGUAAGGAAUGUAAGGCUACCCAACCAUUCUGGCAAAGUCUCCACUCCGUCAAAUGAACAUAUCUCCAAAUGUGUUAGAGAAGUGAGGUGUUGAAUUUGUUGAGGCAGAGACUUGAGCUUAGGCCAACCCCACAACACUAAACUUGUAAGAUUCAUUAAUGAUGCAACUUGAAAAUCAGGAAAGGAAUCGAGCUCCUCCCAAAAUCCACCGAUAUCCAAAUGACGGAGAGAAUUAAGGCCGUCUAAACUUGGAAGAAUCUUUAAAUUAAGGAUACUGACUAUUGCCAGCGUCUCAAGAGAGAGUGGGAAUUGCAGGCUGCUCACCCAACUUUCUAAUCUUUCACAUCUUUCAAUCCACAUAAGUCGAAGGGAGGUCAUGAUGCGCAAAUCUGAAGUAGAUUGUAGACUAACUCCUCCUUCCCAACUCUGCUACUUUUGACACCAAACGAUGAUAGCUUUGGGCAUCCUCUUAUCCACAAUUCCUGAAGAGAUGGACAUUGUUGUGGAAGAACAGGUAUGCUUAUACUAGUUGUCUUAGAAGACUCAUUCCCAAACUGAUUUAAAAGAAGAGGGAGAAGGAUAAACAAAUUAUGUUAUAUUAAUUUAAAUUUGAGUGUAGUACUAGUGGAGACAUGGAAUAAAAGAAGAAAAGGGAUAAACAUAUGACAUCACCUCUGUAAUUUGAUUUCAAUAAUUUAAAAACUUACUUCUGAUAUCUGGAAUGUGAGAAAUCUUGCAUAGCUUCAAUCCAACUGUUGUCUCAGAAGAAGUCUCCUUCCCCAACUGAUUUAAAAGAAAAGGGAGAAGGAUAAACAAAUUAUGUUAUACUAGUUUAAAUUUGAGUGUAGCACCAGUGGAGACACGGAAUAAAAGAACAAAAGAGAUAAAUAUAUAACGUCACCUCUGUAAUUUGAUUUCAAUAAUUUAAAAAACUUACUUGUGAUAUCUGGAAUGUGAGAAAUCUUAGGCCAAUCUGUGCCGAUGUACCUGGUGCAUCUUUCCUCUAAAAGGGGAUGACAUCCAGAAAUCCAUGGUUUUUGUAAUUUGGUGAGGCGUUGCAUAGCUUGGACACUUGGUAAAUUCAUCAGAUUCAUCAAGUUACUCUAGCAAUAUCAACUACAGACACAAAAUCAAUAGUAUUCAAAUCACUCUGCAUACAAUUCAGAUAUUUCAAGUAGCCCCAAAACUAUCAGUCCAAAAUCUUCAUAAGAAAGCAAUUACAGCAGUUCUAUUUAUUAUAUCAACAUCAUUAUCCUGAAAACAAGUCUUGAGAUAAUAUAGAGUUAUAGACAAAUUUCCUCAUUGUGCAGGAAUCAAUGAAAUACGCAAACUGUAAGAGAUCAAAGAAACAAAUGUGGUAAAUCCACCACUACUAUUGUGAUCAGGAUAAAAAGUCAUUAGCAUGCAAUGGAUGAAAGGAUGAAACAAUAUCUUAAACAACAAACAACACAUUUCUGGAAAAAAAAAAAAAAACAAUAUCUUAUGCAUCAGUACCUGGAUUCUGUUUGCACCUACUGCACUACAUCGUUCCAGUUGCGUAGUUUCAAUCCAAGUAUUGUCUCAGACCUCAACUGAUCAUUUAAAAGAAAAGGGAGAAGGAUAAACAAAUUAUGUUAUACUAGUUUAAAUUUGAGUGUAGUACUAGUGGAGACACGAAAUAAAUGAAGAAAAGAGAUAAACACGUAACAUCAGCUCUGUAAUUUGAUUUCAAUAAUUUAAAAAACUUACUUGUGAUAUCUGGAAUGUGAGAAAUCUUAGGCCAAUCUGUGCCGCUGUCCCUCCUGCAUCUUUGAUUGAGAAGGGGAUGACAUCCCUCAAUACACAGAGUUUGUAAUUCAGUGAGGCGUUGCAUAGCUUCAAUCCAACUGUUGUCUCACAAGUAUCUGCCCCGAACUGAUUUAAAAGAAGAGGGAGAAGGAUAAACAAAUUAUGUUAUACUAGUUUAUAUUUGAGUGUAGUACUACUGGAGACACAGAAUAAAAGAAGAAAAAUGAUAUAAACAUAUAAUGUCAGCUCUGUGAUUUGAUUUCAAUAAUUUUAAAAACUUACUUAAGAUACGUGGAAUGUGAGAAAUCUUAGGCCAAUCUGUGCCGCUGUCCCUCUUGCAUCUUUCCUUUAGAAGGGGGUGACAUAUAAUUAUACGGAGAGUUUGUAAUUUGGUGAGGCGUUGCAUAGCUUGGACACUUGGUAAAUUCUUCAGAUUCUUGCAACCCCAAAUCCACAGUUGUGUAAGGGAUGUAAGGCUACCCAACCAUUUUGGCAAAGUCUCCACUCCCUCAAAGUGAUAUACAAACAAAUGUGUUAGAGAAGUGAGGCCUUGAAUUUGUUGAGGCAGAGACUUGAGCUUAGGCCAACCAUACAAGUAUAACCUUGUAAGAUGCAUUAAUGAUCCAACUUGAAAAUCAGGGAAGGAAUCGAGCUCCUCCCAGAACCCACCGAUUUCCAAAUCUUGGCAUUACUCAUCUAACACUACUUGGGCGCGGAUUUAAACUUGUCAUAGUACAAUGCUUGGAAAUAUCAUCUAGCAUAGCAACUGAAGAUUCUUUUACCUAAUUUCUGCAAAAAUGCGGGCAUUUGACAUUUCAUCAUGUUACUUAAGGGAUGUGAAAUAGAGAUAAAGAAAUCAACCAAAUUCAAAUCACUGUUCAUAAAUCACAAGUAACCAUAAAUUAUAUCAGCCCAAAAUCUUCAUAAGGAUAAUAACAAAGGAAUUGCAGUAAUUCUAUAUAUUAUAUGAACAUGGUUUUACAUGACUACAAAUCUUGGCAUUACUCAUCUAACACUACUUGGGCGAGGGCAGUGUGUGAUUAAACAAGAUUCAAUACUAUGAUGGAUAUUCAAGCUUGCGGUUCAGCACUUAUACAAAUGAACUAAAUAAAGUAAGCAUAUACCGAACUGAUGUUGCCGAAACUAAUAAAGAUAACAUGUAAAACAGAAUGCCCACGUGGUACCACGAAAAGAGGCUUGCUAGCUUGAUAAGGACUGUAACUUAAAGGUACAUCAUUGAGAAGGAAGGUAGAUCGAGAGAAUUAAUAUUUUGUGCAUCAGUACCUGGCCUCUGCUUGCACCUACUGCACUACAUCGUUCCAGUUGCGUAGUUUCAAUCCAAGUAUUGUCUCGGACCUCGUACUGAUCAUUUAAAAGAAGAGGGAGAAGGAUAAACAAAUUAUGUUAUACUAGUUUAAAUUUGAGUGUAGUACUACUGGAGACACGGAAUAAAAUAAGAAAAUAGAUUAACAUAUAAUAUAUACAACUCUUAGGAUAUUUGAUUUCAAUAAUUUAAAAACUUACUUGUGAUAUCUGGAAUGUGAGAAAUCUUAGGCCAAUCUGUGCCGCAGUUCUUGGUGCAUCUUUGCUCUAAAAGGGGAUGACAACCACGAAUCCCUAGAGUUUGUAAUUUGGUGAGGCGUUGCAUAGCUUGGACACUUGGUAAAUUCUUCAGAUUCUUGCAACCCCAAAUCCACAGAUAUGUAAGGGAUGUAAGGCUACCCAACCAUUCUGGCAAAGUCUCCACUCCCUCAAAGUCAUAUACAAACAAACCUGUUAGAGAAGUGAGGUGUUGAAUUUGUUGAGGCAGAGACUUGAGCUUAGGCCAACCAGACAAACUUAACGAUCUAAGAUGCAUUAAUGAUCCAACUUCAAAAUCAGGG